rnacentral:lncRNA from 10 species
CUUCGAGAUUCCUUUCCAUCCACAUUUUCAUAAAUCCUUAGGCUUCAUAUUUGUCUCUGGGCAAACCAUGCAGGGUAAGUUCAUCUUACAAACCAGUCUAGGAUUACACCAUCCUAGGUAGCAAAACUGAACUAACCAGAUUCACUUAUAAACUCUUAAGCCCUUUAAAGUCACAGAAAUAUGAUUGUAUUUGUGCUUACCCAACAAAAGUUUUUUUAAAAUACUGGUUUAAGAGCAUACAAUAUACUCCUUUAUCUAAUUCAGAGAAUUAACUACAGUCAUUUUGGUUAUAAUGUGACUUACAGUUUUCCAGACUUCAGUUCAUGUCCUACAAGUUUUCCCAUCGACUUCACCUGUGUUCCCCUCUCCUCAUGACUUUUUCCUGUUUUUAAUCCAGGUUCACCUUUCUUUACAGCUCUAACUGCCUUCAGCAUCUCUUUGUUCAACUUGAAGUACCCAGUCAGAUCUGCUAUUUCAACUCUGAAGCCCUCUGGGCAGCUCUCUCUGAUCAAACUUUUUCUAGAAAACAAUAAUUUCCUUCAAGCUAAUGGAGGUAAUAAUACUGAGAAAGAUGUGUUCAUUUUACUCAACAGACCUUGUUGGACUCUCAGAUACAAAAUGGAAACUAUGCUAGGGACUGAUUAUGUAAGGAUAAUCCUGGCAGUCCUGAAAAAGAAAUAAGAUAUUAGAAAUUAGAUAAGGAUUAGUAGUAUCUGCAAAGCUUGCUAUAAUUUCUACCUCCAAGGCUCAUGGCAGACAAUGAUAAUCAAUCACAGCACUCUUCUUCUGUUGAACACAGAUUCAACAUCACAGUCCAUUUCAACCCCAGUGCUCUGAGCAGCUACUCUCAAUGGAUUGGAUCCAACAUGUGCGAUGAAAUGUAUUUGCCGUGCCCAAAAUCAGACCUGGGAUAGAGGUGGGAAUGGGGUGAGGAGCAAUGAUGAAUUAUUCUAGGCAGACUUGAGUUUGCUAAAUUUGGUUCAAGUGAGAUUCUUGAUUAAUAGAACUUGAAGUGCAAGCAUG